rnacentral:lncRNA from 1 species
GAACAUUUCGCACAGAUCAAUCACGCUAGGCAAAUAGUUUUGUAUCUUGAAUCCUAUCAUAGCCCAAUCGAAGACAGCCAAUAAUAUCAUUCAUCCAAAGGAAAUAAUAUCAGAAAUCUUCAAUUCUAUCAAAGUCUAACAGAAAAAAAUAAACGACGGAUGAAAAACUUACAGCUGUUGCAGACGGGAAUCAAAGCUCGAAGCUACUCGUCUGGCUGACUUUGCAGAGAUAUUUUGUUGUCGUUCCGAACCGAAACCCUAUGAAUUAGGGUUUAAGAGAAAUUGGAAAGACUCAGCAACAUAACUGGGAAAACCACAGUAAGAGUAAACAAUUUUCAGGAAGGGGAAUGUAAUAAAAAUAAAGACUACGACGGCUGACUCUGUUGGCGGUGGAGGACGUCGGACCUGGUGACCGUCGGUGACACUAGCGGUGAUUGGUGACGCUGACGGCGCUCAUCUCGCGGUUAACGGCAGACAGUUUGGCAGAGGCGGUGGCUCACGCAUGGAAGGAGAAAUUAAACUAUAUUUUUCUCUUUAGAUUUUUACUUUUCAGGAGAAAUUAAACAUUUUCAAAACCACAUCUUUAUUCGUGUAGGGUGUUAAUACCUUCCCUACACGUAACCGACUCCCGAACCAGAAUCUGGUUUUUUGUAGACCAAGCCUUAUCCCUUUUACGGUUUUUCUAUAGUUUUCCAAAAUAAACUAUAGUGGCGACUCCAAAUUUUUUUUUUCAAAAUCGUCUCUCUUUUUGGAUCGUCGUCCCGUCGCGAUUUCCGGUUGCGACACUAUCCUUGUAUAUUUUCUCUUUUGCGAUGAUCACCUAAUUGGUGUGAGCUUAGGGAGACAGUUGUUUCAGUUACUUCAGCGAUAUGUGAUCGAGAGGAUUUAGUAGAGAAGUCGGAU